rnacentral:misc_RNA from 1 species
GAUGAAGAACGUAGCGAAAUGCGAUAAGUAGUGUGAAUUGCAGAAUUCAGUGAAUCAUCGAAUCUUUGAACGCACAUUGCGCCCCUUGGUAUUCCAUGGGGCAUGCCUGUUCGAGCGUCAUUUGUACCUUCAAGCUCUGCUUGGUGUUGGGUGUUUGUCUCGCCUCUGCGCGUAGACUCGCCUCAAAACAAUUGGCAGCCGGCGUAUUGAUUUCGGAGCGCAGUACAUCUCGCGCUUUGCACUCAUAACGACGACGUCCAAAAGUACAUUUUUACACUCUUGACCUCGGAUCAGGUAGGGAUACCCGCUGAACUUAAGCAUAUCAAUAAGCGGAGGA